AGUGGAAUUUCUGGACACAUGAGUCCAUGUUUUCUUUUCAAGGAAUUCACAAGCUGUUUUUGAAAGCAGUUGUACCAUUUUCAAUCUCAUCAGCAGU
rnacentral:pre_miRNA from 1 species